CCCUUAGAUGUUCUGGGCCGCACGCGCGCUACACUGAUGCGUUCAACAAGUUUCCUUGGCCGAGAGGCCUGGGCAAUCUUCUUAAUAUGUAUCGUGAUGGGGAUAGAUUAUUGCAAUUAUUAAUCUUGAACGAGGAAUUCCUAGUAAACGCAGAUCAUCAAUCUGCAUUGAUUACGUCCCUGCCCUUUGUACACACCGCCCGUCGCACCUACCGAUUGGAUGUUCCGGUGAAGCCUCGGGAUGAGGACUGGUGCCUUUAUUGGCAUGAGUUGUUCAGAACUUGUCUAAACCUUAUCAUCUAGAGGAAGGUGAAGUCGUAACA
rnacentral:rRNA from 1 species